rnacentral:SRP_RNA from 1 species
CACCGAGCGUCGUGGCGGGCGCUUGUGAGUCAGCUUCUUGACGGUAGAUAAGUGUGGAUGGAGUGAGAGGAGGAGUCCUGUGUAUGUCGUUGUCAACGUCGACCGAGCGUCCGUGCCAAGCGCUGCGUCACCAGGGGAUGACUGUCGGAAGAUGGUCAGUCCCGGGUGCAUAAGGAGUGGUGGAUGGUUCAGGACCGAAAGGUAGCAGACAAAAGCCACCGCGCGGUGCAGUGGCCGGACUGCGCUUGUGAGUUGACACGUAUACACAGCCUUCUCAAUACCUUCAGACCUUCAGACCACUUAUCAUU